GGCAUGAUGGUUUAGUGGUUAGCAUGUUUGCCUUGCAUUUCCAGGGUUGGGGGUUCGAUUCACACCUCUGCCC